UUUGUUAGCAAGUCUUGAAUAGUAAGGAGGUGAGUGGCUUUUUGACUCUUUUGCCCUCACUUAGUAAUUCUAGAAAUAGGAAGCUUGGAUGCUCAUUUAUUGGUUGUUUAAAUUCCACCAACAUCUUAGAACAUUAUUAUUGAGAAAGAAGUGAGAGCUAUCUUAUUAAUCCAAGAAAAAGAAGAAGAAAAGCUAGAACAUUAAAGUUAAGGAAUCUUUAACCAUUAGUCUUCAUCUCUUCAUUUAAAGUUAUGAUAGAGAAGUGGAUAUUGGUGGAGCAUGCAUCAUAAGGAG
rnacentral:lncRNA from 1 species